UUCAAAUUAACUCUUCUUUUUAUAGGAAAGAUGAAGAUACAUGUCUUCACUUGCCUGUAUUGGCAUCAUGCACCCAGGGAAAAGAACAUUCCACACAAGUGGUAGAGGUUGGUAUUAUGAAUGCAACACAUAGGGACUUUUAUCAAAUCCUGUUUUUCUCUAAAGAAAUUUUAAAAAUUGACAAAGAAAAGUAAUUAAUUUUGUGUGGAGCAGCAACUGAAGAGGAAGCCUUUCCUUUCACAUUCUAGUAUUUUAGAUGGAGAAAUCUGCCAUUUUCCUACCCAACUGUCCAAACUAAAAUUCUCUUUGGAAUUUAAAAAAUUUUUAAAUUCCCUCCAAAAUGGGAAAUUUUGGAAGAAAACAGACCUGCUUACAAGGGGAUAGGAGAAACUUAGACCCCCAACCCAAUAUUUUCAAGUAUAAAUAUCAAGGUUCACAAGGCACUGGAGCUUAAUCAGGACCAUGGCAAAGAAAGACCAAGACAAAA